rnacentral:rRNA from 1 species
GAUAGCGUGGAUAACCUGCCUCACACUGGGGGAUAACAGUUAGAAAUGGUUGCUAAUACCGCAUAAGCGCACAGUACCGCAUGGUACGGUGUGAAAAACCCAGGUGGUGUGAGAUGGAUCCGCGUCUGAUUAGCCAGUUGGCGGGGUAACGGCCCACCAAAGCGACGAUCAGUAGCCGACCUGAGAGGGUGACCGGCCACAUUGGGACUGAGACACGGCCCAA